UCUCCGGCUAAGGCAAAAUCAUUUCGGCUGCAAUGGCGGAGCGGGAGAUCCCUUGUAAAUCUUGCGAUUUCCUUCUCGCGAGAGGGAACGAGAACUGGUAGAAGAAGAGGAGAGUAUGGAUGAAGAAGAAGUUGAUGAUUCAUAUGAUUCCGAGGAAAGCGAGGACGCUAUAAUCUAUGACUCCGAUGAUUCUGAUUUUGAAAUGUGGACGGUGCCAAUGCGUAUCGCAACGUCUGGAACUAGUAUUACCGGGAGUGGAAUGAGAGCGAGGGUUUUGAUAUCUCUGUCCACCCAGGUGCUUCUUUUAUGGCUCCAAUUGCGCAGCUACGGAGUUACCUGAAGAAUCCAAAAGAAAAACAGAUAUACACUGAGUUGUGCAACUUGGCAAUUGGAAUUUUCAAUUUCCAGAAUGCUAAAGAGUAUGAGUUCGUGGAAAUUGUCAAGGUAAACGCAUCAUUUGCUGCUGGGAUGUGGUUUUAUUUCACCUUUCAAGCUAGAGAUACUGAUGGCGCGAUAAAGAUCUUUCAAACAUUGGUGUGGGACGGUAUUAAUGGAACCAGAAAGGUGGAAUUUUGCAGGCUUAAGAAAUUCAUUAAGUAAUAAAGGUAAACUUUGACAAUACAGGUUGCUCAAGUGGUAAGCACCCUCCGCCUCCAACCUUAAGGUUUGUGUUCGAGUCGCCAACGGAGUAAAGUGGGGAGCUUAUAGGGAGAGGUGAGAAUAUAUAUAUAUAAAACACAUUAAACAAAAAGUAAUAAAGGUAAACUUUGUACAUAAACUUCAUACUCUGCAUCUGCCAUCUUGUUAUAUACUGCUUAUAUAAGCCUCAUGCUUAUGGUAAGUAGAUAUAUGUGUCGAUCAGUCACCCUUUUGAAAGCUUUAUAUAUGCAGCGUGUUUUGAAUAUUUUCCACUUGUUUUGUUUUAGUUUCAUUUUGCUUUAUCAGGGAUUGCAUUUGAUAUCCCUAAUAUUAUCUAGGGUGUACGUAAUGUGUCCCAUCUGCCUCAUUGUUUGCUGCUAAUUAAGUUAAAACAUACUCCUACAACGAUAAUAAAUAUUCUGAGCAAUCAUAUCAGAAUUGCCAUCCAAUUUGUUAUCUCCUUGAUUUUAUACAAUAUGCAAAAGCAUUUAACAAAGUAAAGGAAUAACUUUCUCACCCCAAAUAAUGGCAAGGAGAAUCUGCAGAAUAUUGUUAUUGACAUUGAAGAGGUGAUGAAAGUUCUAGGUUUCGAAUACUGGUGAGGAAGUGAAAUCACCGGGAGGGUUUGGGGUUUUGUUUUUAAAAAGGAUUUUUCGGGAUUAAAUAAAAAUAUUAGGGAUAAAAUAAUACAAUUAUUGGUCAAAACAAAAGUAUGUCUAAGCUAAAAGGUCAUAAGUUGGAGUGGACCAACUUAUGACUUAUGACUUAUUUUGGCUUAUAAGCACUUCUAAUAUUUACCAAAUGUCAUAAGCUAAAAAAUGCUUAUAAGCUAGUUUUACCAGCUUAUAAGCUUAACCAAAUACCCCCUAAAUCUCAAGAAACGUUUACACUUCCUUUGAUCCGUUAUUCACAGAAUUUAACUGUUGUUCUUUUUGAUAUAACAAUUAGUCUUACUAAAUUCUCUAAGUUCUGUAGGUCUACCAGUAACCUUUUGGAGAAUGUCAUUUGAGCUAUUUGCCUUUUUCUCUGCAGCUUUAAUUCAUGCUUAUGGAGCCAAACUUGGGUAAAAUUGUUUGUUGCCUCGUGUCUAUUUCUUUUAAUCUGUUUUUCAUAUACUUCUUUGUUUAAUUCUUCCUUUUCCUUUCUCAAGUCAUUUUAUCAUUCUAUGACUUUUCGCUUUUAAGAAUUUCAAGUGCUCUGAGCCAUCUCUUAUAUGUUGUUAGGGGCUUCUGAGGUUUGUUGUGACUUUAAGCGCAAAGCGUAAAUAAAAUGUGGGCUUUAAUAAAGAAAGGUACAAUGGAGAAAACUACAAUUAUGUAUGUGUAGUCCAAGACUAAUAUCUAAUAGCAUGAAUACCAAAUAUAUGGACAAAGAAAUUAAAGAAAAUUUAUGGUAAAGUGAAAUAUCAAUUGUUUAGUGUCGCCUCUCCAGGAGAACACUCACUAAAGGGCCCGCUAAGCGAGGCGAAGCGCUCAGCAUGUUUUGAACCUCGAUUCAGGGCUUAAGCGCGCCUUUCAUAACACUGAAUGUUCUACAUCUAAGUUGCUCCGACAUGGCAGUUUAGGUGCCGCAUCCGUGUCGACACGACACUAGUAUGGGUGUGGGU